AAGUUGGAUUCGCUAGUAAUCGCGCAUCAGCCAUGGCGCGGUGAAUACGUUCCCGGGCCUUGUACACACCGCCCGUCAAGCCAUGGGAGCCGGGGGCGCCUGAAGUCCGGGACCGCGAGGACCGGCCUAGGGCGAAACUGGUGACUGGGCUAAGUCGUAACAAGGUAAC
rnacentral:rRNA from 1 species